rnacentral:misc_RNA from 1 species
CCAAACUUGGUCAUUUAGAGGAAGUAAAAGUCGUAACAAGGUUUCCGUAGGUGAACCUGCGGAAGGAUCAUUACUGAAUUAAUGAUGAGGUUGUAGCUGGCCCGCUGGGCAUGUGCACGCCUUGUUCAUCCAAAUUCUUAAACCUCUGUGCACCUUUCAUGGAAUAACAGUGUCUGUUCUCUGCCCCCCAAAGGGCAAGUGCAGUGCAGUUGUUCUGUGACUUUUGUAAAAACGCUUCAGUUUAGAAUGUCUCUAUUGCGCAUGACGCAUUUAAAUACAACUUUUAGCAACGGAUCUCUUGGCUCUCGCAUCGAUGAAGAACGCAGC